AGUUGACUCCAUUGAACACCUUCUAUCUUGGAAGGGCCAAUGAUUUAUUCUCAUAGGAAUAGAUGUCAGUUUUGAGUGUGAAUUUUCCUUUACUGUCCAGAGUCCUCAGCCAGAAUCACUAUCCAAGGGUUUAUAGAGUGCCUGAUCUAAGGCAUGGGACCCUAUACAGCAUAACAUCCAAAUAGCCGACUCAUUUCACAAUGAGGGAGGUGAGGAAAUGAACCUGUUACCAUGGGGUCCAUUAGUCCUAUGACAUAUGGUACCAUCUAGAAACUUCUAGAAUGGUAGAACAUUGGAAUGGCCUACUGAAAGCACAGCUGAAGUGACAGUUCAGAGCAACACUCCACAAAGAUGGAGACUACCACCAAGGACGUGGUGUUAUCAACUGAAUCAGAGACCUCUAUGUGAUACUGUGUCUGAGAACCAAUGGGUAGAUGCAGGAGUAGCUUUACUUACCGUCAUGCCCAAUAACCCACCAGAUGACUUUGGGCUACUGGUCCUUGCAACUCUGGACUCUGCAGGUUAGAGGUUCUCAUCCCCAGGGAACACAUUCUUGCUAGAAGGAGCAGCAAAGUUCCCACUAAACUGCAAGUUGUUGCUGCCACCUGGGCAUUUGAAUUCCUUGUGUCUUGGGACCAACAGGCAAGAAGUGGAGUCACUAACUUCAAGCAGAAUUAGUACCAGGAAUGCUGUUCCAAAGUCCGUGGUGUCUGUGCAUAUGGCAAAGCGCACACAAGUGAAGGCAUCCAUUUAUCUCCUCUACUCCAUCUGGACACCUGGAUGUCAGUUACAAAUACUAAUUGGUUGAAUGGCUUGUGUACUUUCUCUUACAAA